UCCCCGCCACGGCUCGGAGCUGGGGGUCGGCAGUGCGGGCGGGGGCGAACGCGAUCGCGGAGGGGAACGGGGCUCUCCGCGCCGAGUAUGCGUCCUGCGGCGGUCUGCUUUUCUCGGGCUCGGGUUAAAUCGCUCUGUAAGUCUGUCUUGAGUCCGCAGCUAGUGGCCCACUCCGCUGUCUCUUCCUCCUGUUGCAGGUCUGUUUCUGGCUCUCUGCCCUCUUGGGUCCACGCGUCCGCCAGCACACACGCGCAAUCUGGAGUGUACGUGACUGAAGGUUAAUCAAGGUUAAUCAUCAGAGGUUCCUGUUGUGGUUCGAUUAAAUUGUCCAAGGCUCUGCCAACACAACUCUUCCCUCUUUAGCAAAUAACUGAGAUGGGACUAGUGGGUUUAAAAGGGUUGCAGUUCCCCAGUGCCUGGUCCAGGCGGCAUCAGUGUGUAUGGGAGAAUGGGCGAGAUAUUCCGAGGUGCUAAAUGGGACAGGUUAGGAGAAAAAUGAUUUCAAUGGAGAAGUAGUUUGCUUUUGACCGCCAAAACUCUGCAGUCAGAAACACCCCAGAAGUAUCUUGACUUACUAGGUAAAUCUAAGUGUGUGGAUGACAAAGUAAGAUAUAUAAAAGCAGCUUGAACAAGGCUUUCACUUUGAAGGUCUGACUUUAUUCGAAAGCAGCCCCAUGUACCUCUUGUGUUAUGCGUCUGUAUGCUGUAUUCUUACUGAUUGAAAAUACACUUCACCAACAGAUGGUCGUUUAUGGUUUGAAAAAAAAAUCAAGCAAAAACAAAUCUAAAUCUAGAUUAGCAUGACUAGGCAAGCCAUUGCAUAUGUAUACUCAUUUUUUUAGUUUCAGUAGGCAAUCCUUAUUAUAUAAUGCUUAUUCAGCUCUACAAAUAGAAGCUUCAUUGCAGGAUAUUUAUGGUCUAUGCAACUAGCAGUGGAAUUCUGUAUUAUAAAUCAUUCAAUUUCAAAAAAUAGCAAGAUAUUUAAAGAGAAAAAGUAAUGUUACUCUUGUUCUUAGGACUGAACCUACUUUAUUACCCUAAAAUGAAGUUCCAGGUGUAUUUAUUUGUUAUGUAUAAAACAUUACUGCCAUUCACAGAGUACUGUAUUCCAGGACCUUUAUCAAGCUCUAUGUGCAUGCUCUAAUUUGAACCCCACCAAUCCUUUGAAGUAAGUGUUAUACCAAUAGUGUGGAUGCAGAAAUGAAGACUCAGGUUAAGUAACUUGGCGAAGCAGAUUCUGGAUUGUCAGGCAACAGAGUGCAUCCUCAGAGAUGACCAUCCUACUUGUAUUCAUUUGUAAGUGGUUUGAUUAUAUUAGGCCUGGAAACUUUUAUUUAUAUGCCACUAAAAAUAGUCAGGAUAAGAAACAGCCCUCCAGAGGACAUUUUAUGUAUCAUUGUUUGUGUCCCAAAUUUUGAGAGAUAGCAGUUGGGGUGUAUGGGGAGAUGAUUCUAAGUGCUAUGGUGGAAGGUGGUAGAAAGUGACCUCAAGAUAAUUAUGUAAAGAGCCAGGCACAGUGCAACAUGCCUGAAAUCCUAGUAACUCAGGAGGCUGAGGCAGUAGGAUUGCAAGACCAAAGCUAGCCUCAGCAAUUUAGUGAGGGCUCAAAUAACUUAGUGAGACCCUGUCUCAAAAUAAAGUAUAAAAAUGCGUUGGGGAGAUGGCUCAGUGAUUAGACCCCCCUGGGUUCAAUCCCUUAUAUCAAAUAAUAAUAAUAAUGUAAAGAUCAUGACUGAAGCUCAACUAUAAGGAACAGAAUGAGUAGUCCAAGCAGUAUUUCUUUCUAAGCAUUUCUUUAAAGACGAGUUGGAUAUCUAUUAUUAAUCAGGACCAUAAUAAAAUAGCAGAGUAUUUAUGUUAUAGUUAUAACCCCUUAGUGAUUGUGAAAUUCAUUUAGUGUGUCAUGAUGGGUGUUUUAAAAAAUAAAACAUUAGAAAACAUCAGAAUACAUUGCCCAAUGUAAGUAAUGUGUAUUGUUUUGUGAAAUUUUGGUUUUAUUUAUGUGUGUAUGUGUAUGGAUGCACAAGUAUCCAUUGUCAAGUCACAAUAUAAAAGGAAUUUCUUUGGUUGCUAUUGGAAAAGCUCGAAAUACAUUGUGAUAGGAAAAUACAGAACUUAAGAAGCCAGAUGCCAGCUGUAAAAGAAAGAAAAAAAUGUGUUUGGAGUCAGUGAUAACUCAUUUAUUCCACAAUAAUUUCUUACAUGUUUUGAGCAUCAAAUGUAUUUAUAACAACUGCCUAAAACUGGAAGGGGACAAAUUAGGCCCUUUGCUCUGGGUGCAGUUUAUAAUCUAGUAGGAAAGAGAAUUUGGAAUGGGGAAUCAUUUAACAAUUCAAGAUAGAAAGGGAUUAAGGCCUAAAAAUUUAUAUUUUUAGGCCUUAAUUUAUAUCAAUUUUCUGAAAUUAGUGAUUAUUAUAUUGAUAAUCACUAAUUUUAGAAAAAUGAUAUGGACAAUACAAUUGGAGAAGGCUUCAGAAGAAAAGAGACUGAGUUUAUUAUUUAUGUAUUUUUGUGGUCUUGGGGAGCAAAACUAGGCAGACACUCAGCCACUGAGCUGCAUCCCCAGCCACAGAGCUGAACUUUUGAAAUAGGAGGAUGGAGGAGAGAGAGAGGCUUUCUCACUAGAAGAACUAUAGGAGCAAAUACUUGAGUCAGGAUGCAGAUGUUUGAGGUAGAAUAACUAAUUUGGAAUAGUAAGAAGUGGGGCUGGAUAAGUAGGGAGAGGCACAAUAGGGACAGAAUUUCUGGCUAGUGAUAAGAGUAUAGGAAAUUGGCAGUUCCUGGAGUUUUCUAACCAGAAAAAUGGUAGAAAUACUCAUCAGAGUAUUGAUGCUUUGAGAUAGGAUGAGGGGAAAAACAGAAACAAAAAUGGUCAGGUAGGAAACUUGCUAGAGUGAAGAAUUGAGUUGAAAAAUGCUGAACUGGCAAAGGGCCAGAAGUAAAGCAUUUUAUAGGAAAUGAUGCCAUGGUGUCAAGGAAACCUGAAACUUAAAAGCCAUUCCAAGUGAGGUGACAGACACUCAAAGACAAUAAUUUACCAAUGUUGUGUGACAGCCACUGAAUUAAUGGCAAAUAUGAUUCAUUCUGUAGAGUAAACUUGUUAAUAUAAUUCUGUGCUAGUUUUGCUUGUGAGACACGUUCCUUCCCGGGGAAAAAAACUGUCUCCUAGCUUGGUGUAAUAGACAUUCGCAGGUAUAACAGACAAAACAAAGAGACAUUUUUCUUGAUCAGAAUUUCUUGAACCACUAAUGGAAAAUGCAUACUGUGAGUUUAUCGAAGACAGGAUUUUUGGCUCAUUAAUUUUGAUACUCAUGGUGUCUAAAGUGUUUGUUAAAUGAAUUAAGGCCAAUGACUGAGUAGUUAGAGAAAAAUAUCUAGGCCCAGAAUACCAAGGCAAUAUAGAGCAAAGCAUCCUGAAUGAUUGUAUUAGAUCCCAAACUAUGUAAUAGGACCAGUGGUCUCCAUCCUCAAGUCAAGGGCACUCAGUGUCAAUCUGCAUGGAGGACCCUGAGCCUUGCUAGUUUGUUGCCUUAAUUACUUCUAAAGCAGGGGAGCUAUCAGAUGGGUCCCCAAAUCUGCUUUAUCUCAUUUUUUUAAAAAUAGCUACUUUCUACUUCUUCAAAAUCAUAAAUCUAAUAGUAAAUCUGUUCCACUUAAAAAGCAUCCCAGGAGUUCCAUACCAGAUCAGUCUUCAGGCAAAGGAAAAUAAAUAAAUAAAUAAAUAAACUUCUAGAACUAAACAUCAUCAUAUAUUUUAGUAUCUCUUAUGAAGAAUUGCAUUAGGACAAAAUCAUGUUACAUAUUUGCAUAGUUCCCUGAAAAUUCCUUAAACAGAUAUCAGUUAUGUGCUAAGUUACAUGAACUCAGUUACUUACACAGAACUGAAAAGCAAAACCACUGUGAGAGUUAGAAUCCAUAAAAAUGAUCUCUUUCUUGAAAGAUGAAAAAGUAUAUAAAACAUAAAUAUGUUCUGCACCUCCCUUGUUUCUGAUUUUUUUAAGGUGCCCUUUAAUAACUUGAUAUUUCCUUUGGAUGUGCAAUCUGUGGCAUUCCAUCAAAUCGAAAAUGCAUGAAUUUAGUUAUAUGUAUUUUUGACAUUGAGAGAAAAAGCUUAAAUAGACAGAUGGCCUGGAUUGACAGAAAUAUUGAUGACUUCAGGUGGGCUAUAACAAAACUGAAAUGGUUAACUCAUAUUGUUAGAAACUAUGAUGUAGUUGGGCAUAGUGCCUCAUACCUGUAAUCCCAGUGACUUGGGAACUCUAGACAGAAUUGAAAUUUCAAGGCCAGCCUCGUGAACUUAGUAAGACCCUAAGCAAUUUAGUGAGACCUUGCCCCAAAAUAAAAAAUAAAAAGCACUGGGGGUGUAGCUCAGUGAUAAAGGACCCUUUUGUACAAUCCCCAGAACCAUAAAACAGAACUACUAUGUUUUGGCAGUCUCCAAUACUUACCCAACUUUGAGUUACUUAUGCUACAUAAUAGAGCAAAUUAUUUAGCCAUCUAGAAGCAUUAGUUUUGUAAUACUUUGUCUUAAAGCCAUCAAUAGAAGCUUUCAUGCUCAAAGUUAGAUAUUCUGAGGGUAUUUUUUUUUUGAUGAUUAAAAUAACUGCAUUAGGUAGGUGUUUGUUAACAGUUGUGUCAUAGCUUUUCUAGGCAAAAACAUUCUUAGUUGUGUUCACUGGCAAAACCUUGGAGGUCACAUUGCCCUUAUCUGUAUUAGAAUGGAUCCAAGAUUGUUUUCUGAGGAAAAUCUUGGCCUAGCCCACAAAUAUUUUGUCUAUUUCCUUAACUUUUAUAAAACAUUAACCCUAGUUCUGAUGGCUGCUUGUGCAAAUUUUUGAAAUAAUAGCUCUAGGUUGCUACCACCACUCUCUGCUUUCUAGGCAUGAUCAGACAUGCUCAGUUGUGAGAAGUCAUAUUUAUGCAGAAUUUCCUGAAAACUAUGCACUCUUUGAAGCCAUCUAAAUUUUAUUUUCAGAUUUAAGAAAAACCCUUAGAACUCUCUCUUUGGCUAGUCUUCUUUUGGCUCCCCCUAAUAUUACUUUUACUGGACUGCAGUCCAGGAUCACUCAAACAUUCUAAGUUCAGUGACUGCAGAAGUGGCUGCGGGACCCCCACAACAGUUUUACAGCUGAGACAACUGCUCACUCAUCACACUGUGUUCUUGCACUGAGCACUUGCAGAAAUUCAGUACCACAAAAAACUGUGCUUCCCUUGAGCAACUAGUUUGUUUUCUAAUCUAAUAGGCAUUUUGAAUUAUGUAAUUGAAUGCAGGCUUCCUGUCGUUGUGUUGCUUGUUUAAAAAUUCAGAAACUUACUGCACAUUUUGUGAAUUACUUUUAUCUCAGUUUAUUAUUUUUUUCUACUCUUAGUUUCCCUUUAGCUGGUUACUCCACUGCUUUUAUAUCUUGUACUGUAUAUAUUUCAAUCUUUGGACUAGAAGAAAUAGAAGAAAAUAUAAGACUAAAUCAGUCAUGAUUACAAAUCAUAAAGAUUAAUUUUUGAAAUAAAGUAAGAGUGGGCCCUUGACAAUCUGAGGGAGGUUUUUUUUUCUUACCAUUUAAAAAAAUUAUAUAUGACAGCAGAAUGCAUUACAAUUGUUAUUACACAUAUAGAGCACAAUUUUUCAUAUUUCUGGUUGUAAUCAAAGUAUAUUCACGGCAAUUCAUGUCUUCAUACCUGUACUUUGGAUAAUAAUGAUUAUUACAUUCCACCAUCACUAGUAACCCCAUGCCCCCUUCCUUCCCCUCCAACCCAUCUGCCCUAUCUAGAGUUUGUCUAUUCCUCUGAGGGAGGUUAUUUGAUUUCCUUUUCCUUCACCACAAUUGCACCCCACACUUUCACUAUUUAAAGUGACUCUAAAUGUUAAUUUUAUGAGCAGGAGACUGAUAGAAGAAAAUAAAAUGACUAAAGACUGCAGCCAAGUAAAGACUGCUGAGUUACAGAGAAAUAAAGGAUUGUAUUUCUUUGGGUUGCAAGAAGUAGAAUGUGUUAAAAGUUAGGAAUCGAGGGGUACUAGUUCUAAGAAACUUCUGACUGGGAAGCAGGAAGAAUAGGGCUACUUGUUCAGGGGCUAGACUGAAUAUUUGACUUUGGUAAUAGCUUACCACUGUUGUAGGGACAAACGAGGCAAGGCACCGAAGAUAGCAGGAAACAGUUUUUAUUUGGCUGCAGCCUGGUUCAGAAGGCAUGGCUUUUUCUGGAAUCAAUUAAUCCCCUGAACCUCAAGUUCAGGUAGUUCCAGAGUUUUAUACCCAGCAUGUAAGGGGAGGGGCUCAGAAGUUCACAGUCUGCAAAAGUUCACAUAAAAGCAGCUUUUUCUUUCACUGUUCUGGACAGUGAAAGAAAAAGCUGCUUUUAUGUGAACUUCAAGGACAACACCCUUCAAGGACAAUACCUGAGAAGGGGAGAGCUUCUUCUCCCCUUUCUAUUCUCCCCCUGCUAGCUGUUACCAUGGAGCCCAGUUGAUAACUUUCUUAUCUUAAAAAUGUAGACAUCUUGGCUGGGGAUGUGGCUCAAGCGGUAGCGCGCUCGCCUGGCAUGUGUGCAGCCCGGGUUCGAUCCUCAGCACCACAUACAAACAAAAAUGUUGUGUCCGCUGAAAACUAAAAAAAAAAUAAAUAUUAAAAUUCUCUCUCUCUCUCUCUCUCUCUCUCUCUCUCUCUCACACUCUGUCUUAAAAAAAAAAAAUGUAGACAUCUCUGUGAAGCCCAGUUCAAGUCCAGAGACCUUGUUUGCACAUUUCUUCAAAGUGCUAUACUGGAUAUGUUUGUGAAAAACUAGUAAGGGGGUGUCCAGCACCUGGAGUGCUGGUAUCUUCUCGGCCUGUGGCCAAGUAAACAGGACGGCACAAAAAUAGGAAGUUUAUCUACAUUGAACUCUUUUGCAGAAACUCUUUUGCUGACACUUCUAAAAUCAGACAAGGUGAAGAUUUCUGGAGAAGCCCAGUAAAGACUUUUCAGUGGAGAAAGUGGGUGCCACUUCACCACUACAAAGGACAUGGGGAGUGUCAUGAUAAUAACUACAAAAGGGUGGCAGAGAGCACUGUGAGAGUGUACUGGGGCAGAGUUUUGAGUGACUCCAGAUAACAUGUAAGAAAGCAUACUGUUUCCUUGGUGCUCAGGAAGGUUGAGAACAAGAGAUUUGAGAUAGACCAAGGAUAGUAGCUGGAAUGGUUUGUGAUUAGGUGAGAUAGGAUACUUGGGCAGAAAGAGAAUGCAACCAGGAGGAGAAGCCUUAUUUCUCUAGGAAUUAGGGGAGAGAAAGAUUGGACAGAAGAGAGCUGAGAUCUGGCAGUGGGCCUGAGGACCCAGAGCAGAAGAAACCCUCGGGAACACUUGGCACUUAACUAGGUCCCAGCACAUUAGUAUGUAUUUGAAACUUUGUCACAAUGAUAAAGCUGAAUCAGACUGAACCUGUGUCUAUGCUGUUGUGACCACCUGCUAGUGGUUUUUCUCUUGACAUGGCCCCACAGCUUUUCCUUGAGCUGGAGGGAUCUGCCUUUGGAAGUAAUUCCCUGUGGAGGAGAAAAAAAGAGAUGAAUGGCCACACCAUAUAAUCAAACCAUAAUACUUCUUUUUGUGUGUUGCACAUACUGUUUGCCAGGAAAUCUCUUAUAUUCUUCUUUACCUUCUUCAUCAUCUAAAUCUUAGCUUUAAAGCUAUCCCUUUAGAGGUUAGGUCUCCUUACAGAGCUAAAACAUUCAUAAUCAUUAAAUACCUAAAGGAUUCUGGUGGCUGUGCUUCUGUCUGCCAACCAAAUAAAAAUAAAAGCAUGAAACAAAUAAACAUUUAUCUAUUUUUUUGAGAUAGCAUACAACAAAAUGUAUAUGUAUCUUGAAUAACUUCUUCCUAGAUUUUCUUCAACUCUGUGAUCUCAUUCUGUCUCCUCACACAUGCUGUCCUGUGCUCACUCUUUCUCUGCCUCUUUCUGAGUCUUGCUUUGCUGGUGCCCCAGGCAAGUGCUGAAUUUUCCAACCAGGUCAUUCUGUACUUUCCCCCAUUAAACAUUCCCACAGUGCCCUGUACUACAAGUACUUUGCACAUUGGUAAUCAUGACACUGUUUACUGUGGUCUCUCUUUAAUGUCUGUCUUUCCCAAGAGACUCUUCCAUACGGCAGGGACUUUUCAUCAGUUUGUAAAGUUCAUGAAGAGCACAAAUAUGUGUUUGCUUGACUUGGUAUCCUAUAAAAAGUAAACAACUUUUAAGUGACCAGAGGAGAAAUCAAGGAAUCUUCUAGAACGAUAAACUGGAUUUUUAUGAAUAUAGGGGAUAAAAGAAGAUGAAAACAAUGAGGUGAGAAGACCAAAUGAAAUGAGGUGUUUUCCUGUGCAAGAUUAAUUCAAAGUCUUUACACUCUACUUAAUAUUGUAUUUCUGGUGAGGUAAAUUAGUUUCCUCUAGAUAAUUUAUAUUAAAAUACAAUGUAGAUCUGUAUAUAUUUAUUAUUAGAGUUAAUAAAUAAUGUAGUAAUAUAUUUACUAUUGACAGUUUUAUAAGAUCCAUUCAUAAAAUCAUAGUAAACCUUUUCCUAGUCUGGUGUCCAGAAUAUUAGACUGUAGUCCUCCUUUAUACCGUCAGCCCUUCUGCCACAUUUAUUCAACAAAUAUUUGCUGAACAUUUAGCACAUGUCAGUCAUUGUGCCUGGUACCCAGGUGAAUAGUCCCAUAGGCCUUGCCCUCAAGAAAUUGACAGUUCAAGAUCAGUGGGUACUAAGUUACAGUAAGGAGCAACAAAUUCUGGGGUGCUAUUGCCUGGUAGGAGGAAUAUAGUUAAUAAUUAUGUACCAUACAUUUCAAAAAGCUAAAAGAAAAGAUUUUAAAUGUUUAAAAUGUUCACUAUAAAGAAAUGAUGUGAGGAAAUAGAUAUGUCUAACCUGAUUUAAACAUUACACUAUGUAUGUACAUGUACUGAAACAUUAUAUGAUAUUCCAUUCAUAUCUAUAACUUUUAUUUUUAUGUGCCAGUUUAAAAUAUAUUAAAAAAAGAAGUAGCUUAUAGUUCCAGAUCAAAGGUACUACCCCAGAGUACAAUAAAAAUAUAGACAAAAGUAUUCAGAAGGACUGUAUUUGAACUAUGUAGGAAAGUACAGUUUUUAUAGAAUAAAGAAAGUCUGUAAGAUAAAGUUUAGAUAUUCUUAGUUCUGACACCUUCACCUUAAGAUGUAUUUGUUUCCUGACCAGGUCCUCAAAUAUUCACCUAAGACAUGGUAACUUUGGGGGAUGGAAUAAUGCUUCUUGCUAAUCAGCAUAGACAACACCCAGUGAUCUUGCAUGAAGAAACAUCCUGUUGUGAAAAGUUGGUUUCAACCUUUCUCCCCUGCAAGCAAUUGUCUUUAUUUCAUCAUUCAGACUGAGUCUUUUGAAAGCUCAUAAAUCAACAGAAGCCAGAAAAUUACAAAUGCACACUGUAUGUUUAAUAAUAGUGCACAAUCUGAUUACUGUAAGUACAAUUUUAAAUUUUUUCUGUUCAAACAGUUUAUGUGAAUAGCAACUUCUAUUUUCUUAGACUUACUUGAGUGGAAAAAAAUCCCUUUGAAGCUACAACAGAACUUGUGGUACAAUAUUGAUUAAUUGGUAAUGCAAAUUAGCUUGUGCCUACCAUCAGAACGUGGAAAAAUAUAUUUGAGUCUGAAAGUAAGACCCUCAGUUCUGUCUGUGCACUUCCUUAGUUGGUUGAAACUCUCAAAUAUACCUCCCUUUUAACAGCGGUAAAGGUUGUUUUACCUUAUGGAAUAAAAAAAAAAAAAGAUAAGUUGACCUUUUCCAUUUUAUCUGAAAGAAAGUGCUUAAGAAGAAAAUACUGUUGAUUUUAGUUGUCAGUAAACUUAUUGUUUCACUUCAUCUCAGCAACAUUUUCCAAACCACUAAACCACUAAAUGUUCACUGGAGACUUUCAGGUCAUGGCAAGAUGACAUAGUAAUUUGGUGCUUAAUUGAUUUAAUAUUGAGUGCCAAGAAACAAUUGAGGCUCAACCCACAAACCCCAAAUCCAUUACAUUAUCCUAUUUUGAAUGUUUAAAAAAAUAAGUAGAAGAUUUUAAAAUAGCCACUUCAUUUUAGGCUCUAUAAUGAUAGUAUGUGAAAUUAUUAAGUUGUAUAGUAUUACAGAGCUUUCAGAAGACUCAGAUUUGAGCUGAUGUAUUUCAUAAGGAAAAAUUCUUAUUUGCUUGCUAAUUUACCUGAAGAUAUUCAUCUCUAAUGUGUACUCCCAGAAAUGUAAAAAUGUUCCAUCGCAUUUCAAAUUAUCAGUAGCAGUUAAUUAAGGUUCAAAUUGCUUUGAGGAUGCUAAAAUUGAUUUUAUCAUUUUUGUCAAUUUCUUUUUAUUGUGCCAUUCCUGGGUUUAUGCCAAUAAUUUGUCAGAUGCAAUUACAUUUGUGAAUUUAAUUUUCUUUUGCACUGUAUGGCAAACUAGGUAUAUUCCCAUAUUACUAGGUGUUUUAUAGGAGUUACUCUUGAUUUUCCUUAAAAUUAUUUACUGGUUUUUCAUAUUAUUUCCCAUGAUGUCAUUUACUCUCAUAAUAUGAAUGUGGCAAUCAUUUUAGUAGUUAGAAAAGCUAUAACAAUGCAAAUAUGUACUUGGCCUUCAUUGGUCUUUAAUCCACUACUGCCAAUUUAAUCUACAUACCAGACAUUAAAUAACAACAGAAUUAAUAACAAUAAUACCUACUAUUUAUUGAACACUUACUAGGCCCUAAUCCCUGAACUUAAUACAUUGUCUUAAUUAACCUUCUUUGUAACCUGAGGAUGGCACAGUUUCUAUCUACCAUAUGGCCAAAGUGGUUGUUAAAACACUGAAGUACUUUUAUUGUGGUAGUGAAGAGCUGAUGUCCCAAGCUCCCCAAGUGUCCUUUGUACCUUUUUUCUCCAAUUUCCCAUCUUUUCUCCUGGGGAUCUCUCCAUCUUGUCCUCCCCAAAUCCUGAAACUAGAGGAUUAACAAUGGCAUGGCAGAGACCCUCUGUGACCUCUGCUCUAGCAGCCAGACUUCGUUCUGAUGUGUUGGUACCCAAGCUGUUCCAGUAGUUAAAUAUUGUGGUUAUUAGCAAAGAUGUAGAUACUAUCAUUACUGUUCUGCAGGAGGGAAAACUCAUAUAAAUAUGUAAAAGUUCAUCAGUUUGCCCAAGAUUGCCCACCUAGAAAGUGUCAGAUCCAGGACUCAAACCUAGGUCUCUCUCAAGUUAAAAUCCUUGCUCUUUUUUUGGGGGGUGGGGGUGGAGAAGUACCAGGAAUUGAACUCAGAGGUACUCAACCCUGAGCCACAUCCCCAGCCCUAUUUUGGAUUUUAUUUAGAGAUAGGGUCUCACUGAGUUGCUUAGCAUCUCCCUUUUGCUGAAACUGCUUUGAACUUGUGAUCCUCCUGUCUCAGCCUCCCAAGCUGUUGGGAUUACAGGCAUAAACCACAUCGCCUGGCAAAAUCCUUGCUCUUAACUAGUAUAGUGGACUAAAAAAUAGAGAAAACCAGCCGGUGAUUAGUGUUGACUUCCCAGGCCCCAACAUGGAUAGCUAUCUACUCUGACUACUUGUACAAUGAAUUUUAAAUUUAAUUAUGUUUUUCAUUAGGUUCUCAGCCAUAAUAAUGAGCAUGCAAGUACUAGGUUGAUAAUGGAUACUUUGCAUUAUUCCACCAGCAUCCUGUAUUUACUAAUUUAGCCCAUGUUGUAUUUUGCAAAAAUGUCUCCAUAGGUAGAAAUUACCUUCUUUAUUCAUCCCUUUUAAAAACAUUUUAAAAUGUUAUUGUAUUUUUAUACAUUUAUUUUAUUUAUAUAUUUUUAUGUGGUUCUGAGGAAAGAACCCAGUGCCUCAUAUGAGCUAGGCAAGUGCUCCACUACUGAGCUACAAUCACAGCCCCUAUUCAUCCCUUUUUGGAUGAUGCCCCCUAUUCAGACAAAUGAUUAAACACACCAAAAAUGGUAAAUUACAAACUUAACAUUUUUAUAUACUUUUAAACUUUAUUUACUUUUAUAUAAUUUUAAUAUCCCAAAUCCAAGUAUCAUAGGCUGAAACCCCUUAGCAUUAUAUUUCGCUUCUUCUCUCUUAUCUACCUUUUCUUUCUUUCCAUUGUUAAUAAAAAACCCAGUGCAAAAAUAAAAAAACCUAGCCUUCAUAUGGACAUUAUGAAGAUCCAUAAUGUCCAAGUCACUUAUAUAACUCCAUCCUUAGUAUCAGAGAAAAUUCUAAUUCUAUUAGCAUGUGUUGUAUAUUUUUUAAAGGCAGUUAGACCAACAGGUGAAUCAAAAAGUCUGCUGUCUACAAAGCACAUUUUUAUUUAGCAAAUUGCAUCAGUGCUCUGAGAACUGGAUAUACCACAUCUAUCUGCCAAAGCAGAAAAAUUUGACAAGGGAUGCAGAAAUACUUCAGGUAUGGUGAAAGAAAUGAUAGGUUUUAUGUGUAGGUGAUGUAUGGAGUGCAGAAAUUAUAAGACCUCUCCAAGGUUGGCCUAUCUGACAUUAGGGACAGGGCUAACAUGUCUUAAUGGAGGCCUAGCAUGACAACCAAAGGCAUACUGGAUCUUUCUCUGGGCAGCAUAUGUGUAUUUCUUGCUAUAAUAUUAUGAAAUAUCAUAAAUGAAGGUUUGUCCUUCAUUUCUCGACAAAUAUCUUUAUAUAUCUAGAAUCUCCAAAGUGACACAUAUCUUUUGUGUGCUAAUCAGAUGACUGGUGGCUGGAGUUUCCUCCUUAGCCUCAGGAUGGGGGCUGUUUGCCAGGGGCACAAACCUUGCAAUUAGAAGGUUGGAGCUUACAGUACCUCCACCUAACCUAGGGGAGGGGAAAAGGGCUGAGGGUUGAAUUGAUAAACCAAUAGUUAAUGAUUUGAUCAAUCAGCUUACUUAAUGAGAUGUCCUUGAAAAAAAAAAAGAGGAAAGAACUGAGUUCUGAGGGCUUUCUGAUAGCUGAACAAUGGAGGUCCCAGAAGGUGAUAUUUCUAGAGAUGGCAUGGAAGCUCUAGGCCCCUUCUCCCAUAUCUUGCCUUAGGCAUCACUUCCCUCUGUUUAUCUGUUUCCUUUUUACUAUCCCUAAUAAUAAACCCAUAAAUGAAAGUAUGUUCCCCUAUCAUAGGCAAGUAGAUUGCCACACUGGCAAAUAGAUUGGACCCAAGGAGAGUACCAUGGGAACCCUGAUUUGCAACUAGUUGGUCAGAAAAACAGGCCAUAAUCUAUGCUUAUGAUUGGAGUCUGAGGUGCUUGGCAGUCUUCUGGGACUGAACCCUCAACCUAUGGGGUCUUCCUCUAUUUCCAGGCAGAUAGUGUCAAAAUUGAAUUGAAUUAGAGGAUAGCCAGCUGGUAUCUACUGGAGAAUACACUGGAGAAGUGUUUGGUGUUGUGUAUUGGGGAGGACCCCAACAUCUAGGGUCACAGAAAUGUUCCAUGCUGUGAAGGUAUAAUGGGAGAAACUCAAAGUUUGUUUUAUUCUUAUAGCCUUUCACUUACUGGCUCAUUUGAAUUUGCAGUGGGCAUGGAUAUGUCUAAGACUUCUGGGACCAGCAGAAGAGUCAGCCAGCAGCAGCACCAAGCAACCUUACCCCAAAGCAGCAGCAGGGAUGAGAUUACCUGGUGUCUCUCCUGGGCCCUGAGCAACACCUGGGGCCCCAAGGUUGUGACCACACAGUUCUCUGAUGAUGUUUAAUCCUGGGACUUUCAGUAACAUUUAGGAAGAGAUACAGCCUGCCCCUGCAUUACCUUUCCACAGGUUAAAGGUGGAUGAAGGAAGAUCUGAGCUCCGAGAGCUGUAAGAACAAGACCAAAGCUUGACUUUUUCGUUGUCUUUCUGCUCAAAGGGAUCAAAAUUAGGGAGCAGUGGGCUGGGGUUGUAGCUCAGUGGUACGGUGCUUGCCUAGCACACGUGAGGCCCUGGGUUCAAUCCUUAGCACCACAUAAAACUGAAAUAAAGGUAUUAUGUCUACCUAUAACUAAAAAAUAAAUAUUAAAAAAGAAAAUUAGGGAGCAGUGAAAGCAGGAGCUCUUGUGGUUGCUGAGGACUGGAGCUAGCAGUGUGAGAAUCCCCUGAGGCCCUGACGGAAGGUGGAAGAAACUUGGAAGGGGAGGGCUGAAUCUCCACAAAGUACCUUAGAGAACCUAAGCCCAGGAGGCUUGUGUUAUCUUUAUUUAUUUUCAGUUAUCUUUAUUUAUUUUUUCCUAGGAACCCGGGAAUUGUCUUCAAAACAACAAAAAAAAGUUACCCAAGUUUUGAGAAGUUCUGUUCUCCUUAAAUCCACUCUCUGAAACUGAAUGGUGGAGUCAUUUAAUAGUAGUCAGGAAGAUACUGUCAGAAUGGUGAGGGGCCUCUCCCCUGCUCAUGGAAGGCCAUCAUGUUUUUACAAGUGCAGCCAACACUUCAACACAUUUAUUAAGUACCUACUGUGUAUUAGGAGCUGUAUUUUUCAUGACCAUAGUUCAAGGGAGAGGGGGAAAGGGAGGGCUACAUCACCUUGGGAACAGAUGGUUAACUUCUGGAUGUCAUCUCUGCACCCACCAUUAUGUUCACAUACUGUAGCUGAAAUGGGACCUGGUGUGCAUUCUGCCCACUAGUAAGAAUGUGCUAAUUUUGAAAUGGAAAAGUUCUGCUUGACAUUUGUCAGUGAAGAGAUUACUUAGAGAAGACUUAGAGAAAUCACUGCUUCAUAGAGGCCUGUCCAGGCAGGAUUAGAAAACCUGUUUCACCAUAUUUUGAAGUUUAUCAAACAGGAUAUUCAAUUUAGCAAAUUUCCUAACAAACUGACAUGAAAUCAGAAAUCUAUUUUAUUAAUUUACAGUGAGAAAGAAAACUUCCCAGGAGUUAGAAAGCCUAUUGUUUAAUUUCUCUUCCUCUUAUUCUCACUGAACACAAACCAAAAUAAGCCCAACUUUCAGAAGAUACCUAGAAGAAGAGGAGGUAUUUAUGCAAGUGUUGUAUUUAAUGCCAUCAUGUUAAUAGAGCCAAGUACAUGCAUUUCUGCUCCAAGGAUUACCACAAAGUAGACCAGAUAUUUGCAGAAACUAGAUGGGUUCGUUUCUUUGAGAUAACAGUUAACUGGGCUUUGAAUCUCUUUUUCCCUGUUUCUGUGACUGAUCAGAUAUCUACCAUUCUUAUCUUCAAUAUGUCAGUUAGGUGGUAGUCUAUUUUGUUUCUUUAAGAUAACUUUGUUCAUCUCUGUUGAUUUUGACCCUUUUGACCAGAUGAUGAUAUCAUUUCCCAGUCUUCAGGAUACCUCUUUAUUCGAUGUAUUUCCUCCCAUGUACUUUUUAUAAGAGUGAUUACUGAGCUUUUAGCUACUUCUUACUCUUUUCUAAAAAAUAUAUAUUUCUUAGGUAUAGGUGGACAGAAUGUCUUCAUUGCUGGGAGCCAUUAGCCAAGUAGGUAUGACAAUUUCCUUGCCAGUGUACCCCAUGUUGCUUAGUGGAAGGACUCGUGGAAAUAGGACAUUUUGCAGUGACAUUGCAUCUAAGGUGACCUUGCUCAAGGACCAGGGCGGAUCCGGGUUUAGGGUGUUCCCGAUUUAGGACAAUCCGGGUUUAGGGUGGUUCCAGGUUUAAGGUUAUUCCUGCUGGGAAUAGGGCGUAUCCUGCUGCCUGAGUUCCCCUUGAGUUCUCACGGGAUUCAGACAGUAUUUUUUGGGAGACAGAAGCCCAGUGGGGGUGGAUUUGGGCAGAGAACGUGGAUUUCCCCAGAACGUGAUUGUAGACGGCUGGUGUGAGUUCGGGAAUAAAGAGUUGCUGUUUGAAUCUACAA